GACGGAGGGUGCUAGCGUUGUUCGGAAUCACUGGGCGUAAAGGGCGCGUAGGCGGCCUUGCAAGUCGGUUGUUGAAAGCCCGGGGCUCAACCCCGGAGGUGCGGCCGAGACUGCAGGGCUGGAGGCCGGAAGAGGAGGGUGGAAUACCCAGUGUAGAGGUGAAAUUCGUAGAUAUUGGGUGGAACACCGGUGGCGAAAGCGGCUCUCUGGGCCGGACCUGACGCUGAGGCGCGAAAGCGUGGGGAGCAAACAGG
rnacentral:rRNA from 1 species